UUUUAUUGAUUGUUAUUUCUUUGGUUUUUGUCUAGAUAGUACCUGAUAUAAUGUAAUGGGUUUGAGACAGUGAAAUAAGAUUUAAACCACAAGUCAGAGAUCAAACCACUGCAGUUAUAUAAGAUUCCCAUCCCCAUUAACCUUUUCACUCCCACAAGUGACCAAGACAGAAUUUCUCCUUACAAUAUCAAUACAAUAUCAAGCAGGUUUCCAGGAAGGCCAUUUCUAAGAGAAUACCAUCAAACACAUCCUACAAAAUUUGGAAAUUACAGCCUUCCUCAAAAUUAUAGAUUGAAAUAGAUAAAGAGGAACAGUAGCUUACAACAGCAGUGGCUGGCCAAAGCUUCAAGUCUUUUCUUUGGGAUUAUAAGACUUUAUAUUAGUAAUUUUAAGUGCAAGAAAAUGAGUGUACAUGUGUAACAGGCGAAAUUAUUACUAUGAUAUGAUUCAUUUUUAUUUUACUUGUUUAUCAUCACUCCACUAUAAGUUCAGUUUAAGAUUUUGAUACUGUGAAUAUGU